GGUAAUGGAGAGUUCUUAACUUUGUUCUGCUGAGCAGAGCUGAAGUUAGUACUGAAACAGGGAAGAAAACAGUUUUUGUGCUGCGCAUUCCCAAGAUUUUCAAGUAUUGUUAAAGUGACCUGUGAUGUAAAUGAAACUUUAGUCUUUUUUGUGUGAUGUCUUCAGCUGAUGUGAGUGCUACAUGUCAUUAAGUAUGGUGAUGGAAGAUGGCUCCGCUUAAACUGAGAGUGAAACACAUCUAAUGCUGUGACAUUAAGGACGCUGAAAAUGGGAUCUAUGUUUGCCAUUCUAUUGGCAAUGAAUUGUAAUAAUGAACAAAAUAAGAUGCGACUCAAAUACAAAAGUGCACUAUUCCUAGUAAUCCCUUGAGUGUUUGAGCUUUGCAGACUUCCCCAACCCCAACACUGAUAUGUGAAGAAAACAAAGCUUUUUUUAUUUAGUUAACAAUUUAUGUGUUAUAAGUCUACUGUAGAGUAUGCACAAGGGGAACAAAAAGUAUUCACUUGACCCUCGUAAUUAAGGACUGUUUUCAUUUUGUAAUUUUCAGACCUAGUUUAAUUUCAAAAACUGUUAUCCUGGUUCAGGGCAGAAAAAAAAACCCUGAUUGCUCCAUACCUUAAAUAUCAUAAAAUUAAUCUGUUCUUUGACUACUGCCACUUGAGAAAUUAGGUUUUAGAAGAGCAUUUUUUCUUACGGGCUUUUAAUCCUUUUCCUUAAGAGUUCUUUGUUCUGUUCUGAAUUGUUUUGCUUCCAUUCUGUUAUGUCUGUUUGUAAUACUGCCUAUAUUUAACUUUCCAUUAACUGAUACUGGUGUAGAAAGGAAGUUUAUGAGACUUCUAAUCUCUGCAGUUUUGUCUGGUGGUGGUAGAGAUAAGCAAGCCUGUUAAAUUUUGGCUAGCUCUUGUGAGUUGUGCGUGUGAAUUUAAAGGGCUUGUUCUUAAAUACAGUACUCAAAACUGAGAUUUUUUUUCAGGAUGGUUCUGCUGAAAUACAGGAUGUCUUACAUUUUCAUACAGCCAGGCUGCGUCUUUAGCUGUAUGCAAGUCUAAUGUGACUACGUGAAACACCACAAAUCCAUAGAUGUGUCUUGGUUUCUAGCGUUUUGACCAUAUUUUAUGUUGCUUUUGCUUUUGACUAAACUUUAAUUCUUUAACUUUCCUCAUCUUAUGCUGCAGAUCAGCCUUUAAAAUACUUGCAAAUCAAGUACCUUGUAAAGGCUCUUUUUCAUUUACUACUUCAAUUCAUUUAUUUAUUAAGGGUUAAAGAAACACAGGUUUUGAAUGAAAAUGAUCAAAGAACUCAGAUGGUUUGACAGCAUUUGAAGCAAUUGCAGUUGGUUCUACUUACUAUAGCUUCUUACUGCUGUGGUUAGAGCUUUUGUAACUUAAACUACGUUAUGUUACUGAUAUAAGAUGCUGGUGCUACAAGGCACCUUAGGCUCUGGGUGCAGCCUGAGAGUCUUUUUUUUUUUUUUCUUUGUUAGUGAAUACAGAUUCUUGUGAACAAGCUCUUAAUCUUGGUUUGGAAGCAGUGUAAUGGGGAUUUACUUGUGCACAGUUCAGCUAUGGCAAGAUAUUGCCAGCUACGUGGCAGAGGUGACUCCAGCACAGCACAUGUGACAUGUUCAGGGAGUUGUAUGCGAAAGGAUGUCUGUGGCUAUGGCUUGCGUAAAGUGUCUCCACCCUCUGGAGCUGCUCUCCUUUGCCUGACCUAGUUGUGCUGUUUGUGCGGUGGUGCUGGAAGGAAAUCUGCUCUAGGCAAGGCUCUGGGAGGCUGUGGGAGCUUUGAGUGGUUAUGCAUGUCUGCUCACCGCCAAAUCUAGAGCUCUUUAAAUUUGAACCUCACCAGUGAGGAAAAUAAUCAUUUGUGAAUUACGCGGGGAUGUGAAGAUGUAUUGCUGUGGUAGCAUAGAUGUUUCUGGGACUCUGCCAAGCUGGCAUUUCUCAAAGAGGUGUUUUCCCUGUAGUGCUGCUGUCUUAUGUUGCCUGUUAGUUCAAUUAUGGCCAAUAGCUUGAAGUUGUGCUGCACUCCCACAUAAGUCAGCAGCCUUAAUGGUGUUUUCUUAGGUAGUAAGUAAUUGAGAUGUCUUUGAGAAGCCUGGGAGUUGGCAGUAGUUAGGUUUAAUUAGUAGAUCUGGAGUUGUGAAACUGAGAAUGUAAAAUGUUCUUUUAAGACAUGGAGCUUAAAGCAGAAGGGAGGCAAAUGAGAACGCUCAAGAUUUCCCAUUCAAAAUCAUGCUGAGGGCAGCUUGAAGUCAUUUUUAAGGAUUUUGGCGAUGCUUUUGAAUUUAGACAGCACUACAAAUUAUUUUUCUUCUCCCAAGUUGGAGGUGCUUAGAAAAAUCAGAAUGCAGAUGUGACACCAGGAGGAAGUUUCCAGUUUGUUAUCCUGUCUAUGCAGAGAGCUGCCUGGGAAAUGGUUCUUCUAUGAAAUAGAGCAAGGUGAUUGUGAGAGGAAGGUUCAUAACUGAGCAGAAGCCUGUGAAAAGCAAGACAGCACAAAAUAGGUCAGUGCUCUUCUCUAACUGAUACUGGCUGUCCUCCAGAUGUUUUUGCAGAAAUGUUCAUCUGCUGUGUGUGUCAGCACUUAGCUAUUGGUUUGGGGGCUUUUUCCUGUUCCUGAAAGAAGAGAAGCUCCAGUUUCUGCCCAUGCUGUGUAAUGAAAGACAUUUGACUCCCUGAAUAAUGGUGAAAUGCAGUUGUUUUGCUAUGCUGGUCCAACUCCAAAUAAAAUUUGUUAGGAGGAGCUCUAAACCUAUUCUAAAGAGGUUUAAUUAACAUUUUCUAUAAAAGCUUCGGAGGACCGGCUCCUGGAGUUCAGUCAAAUCAAGUGUUUCUCUUGAAAUAGGAGAAAAUGGUUUUACCUGAACAAUGCAGAGAUGUGCAGAGGUCACACAUUGUUACAGGAUGCUGGUCACAGUACCGUUGUUAAUUACUUGACACCUUGCUGUGCUCCUGAAAUGUCUCACCAUUCAUAUAAACUAAAAGGUAAAACGCAUCUCUAUUCAUUUCUUAUUAGCACUAGAAGACAAAGGGUACUUAGAAAACAGAGGUAUGAACUCAUACCUCUUUAUGAGCUUAUUUCUUGUUUUGCAGGUGACUGAAAUACAUGUUUUUUGAUUUAUUAUAGGUAGUUGGAAUUCUGCAACUUGCAGUUGAAGUAGGCAGACUUGAAAUGCUGCUGUCUAUGGGUUUUCUAUUCUUGUUCGCUUGUCUUAGAAGGGUUGUAAUAGGGGAUUUGGGGAUAGGUGCUUUUUUAAUUUCCUCUCAGAUACUGCAGCUUUAAGCCCAGUUUAAGCGCUUUGAGAACUGAUUCAGCUUUCUGGCUGAAUGACUGCUGACCAGCCCAGGUCUCUUACAUACCAUCAGAUAAAGCCAUAAAAAUUCCAGUUCCAGUUUUGGAACAGAUAAUUAUUAAUGACUGCGUUGUUCUGUAAGGCUUUCUUAGUAAGUGGGGCUUGAGUUCCGAAUGCAAAUGCUGAAACUGAUUUCUGGAUUGUUGCAGCAUUUAAUGUAGGAGCCUCAGUCCUAUGACUGACUUGAGGUGGGGAAGAGGCUGGAAAAUGUGUUGAUGGAUCAGUGCUAAUGUAUAUUCUGGCCACCUCUCUAGAGUGCAUAAUUGGUUCUGGGAGUAGAGUGCGGACUGAUCUGUCUUGCUGUAUGAAGCUCUUGGGAAGGCAGUAUUUUAGGGAGUAUUAUGUUAUUGCAUAUAUUCUUUAUACUGACAGCUGGAGGAAGAGAGAAUGUGAGAGUGAGAUGGAGGCUCAAGCUUUAUAGAUGCCUUAAAUUUCUUGAAUGUGGUGUGAGAUUACUGUUGUCUGAACUGAAAGCGACUGUUAAAUGUACAGAGGAGGAAGAAGAAUAGGCUCUCUCUGCCUUCUCCAGGUGGAAGUGGAUAGAGCAAAGCAAAUGUGGUCACUCAGGUGAGAAUUGCAGGGCUUGCACUGGACACGGGAACGAGGGAAAUUGGAUUGGUUCACUUGAAAUUUAACACAUGUUCUGUGUACAUAAACCCUGCUUAUGAGGGAAAUGCAUCCGAAGCCCAUGCUUCUGUCUGCUGUGGGGCUUUCCUGUUGACUUAAAGUUGCCAUACCUGUUAAAUAUUUUAAUUCGUGUUUAGAAGUUAUUAAACUUGUUUUGAUUUAGUCACACUAACAUAUGAGAAGGAAUAAUAUUUUUGUUGCUCAAUUUUAUAUGUGACUUACAUAUAUAUGCGCGUGUGUGUAUAUAUAUCCAAAAACACACACAUAUGGGAUACGUACUGCUUUUAUUUCUUAUUUGUUGAAUUAAGUCUUGCCACAUGAUGGUUCCCAGAGCAUUAAGUACUGAGGUCUGGUUUGAUGUGGAAGGGAGCAGUUACUCUCUGCCUCUGGCCUCAGCAGAUGGAGAGCUUGUCUGUCUCACUGUUCUUGGAUGGAGGCUUCUCCUGCUCUUGAGCUUCAUGUCUCAAAUGCUGAGUUCCUUUCUCUGCAUAUUCCCCUUGUUUUCCGAACACUCCAUGUUGUCACCACUGAUCUUUAAAUUUUCUCUCAGGUUUUCCUGCUCUGUGAUGGCUGCCAUUCCCUCCAUGUGUGUUACAAUAUGGUUACAUUAGUAGUGCAGAUUAACUGCCAUGACCAGUCUCCUGAUACAACUCCCUGAGCACAGUUAAGAAAAACAGUUCGAUCUGUUGUUUUAAUAGUGAGGCAUCUUUUAGUUCUUUGUUUGCAGAUGCAGCCAGUGAAUAGACGAGCACCUUUUCUAUGUAUUCAGUUGCAUACUUCUGCACAUCCCCGAAAAGGUGACUUAAAACUCUGUUCAUGAAGUGUCAACACUUCUCAUCUGUUUUGGUUAAAUUUGCAUAAUGCCAAAUAUUUAUAGGUUAUUUAAAAGUGGGCAGCAGAAGUAGUGAGAGACCCUAGUGAAGAUGCAUGCUUCUUAAAAUAAGGAAGAAUUAACUUCCCUGACCCUCCUUACAGCACCUAGUGCUUCUCUAGAGUGUGAUAUCCUAAACUUGAAAGAGUAAGCUGGGAAGAACUUCAGUUUUGUGUUCCAGUUGUAGUACAUACUGUCAGUUUUCUAAGCUACUUCAUAGUUGCUUUUUACAAAAUGGACUAGAAUUAGAUUAAUAGUUGUUCCUUUUGCAGACCUUCUUAUUUGUCAGAGUGACUCAAGACGUAAAGAUACUGACCAGUUUCCACUGGAUCAAUUGGCUGUUUGCCUUGCACAGCUUUAGAUCUGGUCCUGAGUACUUUUGUCAGUUUAGGUAAGCCUAGAAUUAACCUAAAUAUUUAAGUGCUGAAACAUAGUGACUGUACAUGCACCAAGUGUUACUGUGGGAUACUUACUGUGUAGAUGCGGAAAGUAUUUUGAAAUAUUCAGAACCCUUUGGGUAUUACAUGUCUUCAUUAUGGAGUCACUGACAUCUCAAGAAAAUUAUGGCACACGGUCUGUUGGGAUGUGUCUUGUUAUCUGAUGGAAUGUAACUUGCUUUGCCCUAUUUUCUUGUAGUACCAAAUACAGGAUAUUAACUGAUGUCUUUGUCUUUUGAGAUAAUUGCCUUCUCUCGUGAUGUGUUGUAGUCUCAAGUUCUUAGAAGGAAUUGUAACUUAUUACUUAAAGAAACUUGAAAAUUCUGUAUCUUUUGAGUUCUUCUAGAUUUGUUUACAGAUGAGUGAGUUACUUAACAGUUAUCAAGUUGUACAAGUGAAGGUUUACUUGAAAUGUGAACAUAGUGCAAGAUUUGGAAGCAAAUACUGUUCAAACCUUCAUUUGAAGUAUAGUUGAAGUCUAAUUAGUUAUUACUGUUAAAUGGUUUUGUUUGUUCCAAGUAUUCCUUUAUUUUUAAUUCUGUAAAGCGUGGUCAGUCUGUCAGUGAAGUGAAAUGCUCAGCAUUAGCAAACAAAUUUCUACAUCUGUUAAUUUAUGAAAGGUGUAUCAUCAUGCUUUGCAAUCAGUAUAGCAAUAAUAAGGGUGAAUGACUACUGGCCUAUGUAGCAGAGGGAUGGCGUUUGGGUUGGAAGUUUGCCAGAAUUGCAUAAAAGGAAAUCAAUGGACCAAAUCUGGGAGGAGACUACUGAAGCUUAACAACACUUCUUUUGUAAUGAAUACAUUUAUGGAUAAGUGAGAUGUUAAUGAAAUCUGCUUGUGCUGCACUGGGCGGAGAUGGAAAGAUGGGACCCCAGUGAUUAUUGUAUACUCCAUUGAAGUGGAGGUAAUUCUGUAAGAAAAAUGCCAUUUUCUUAUUUCAAUUUCUAUUACUUCAACUUCUGAAACUUCUAGGAAAAAAAUCGUGACUUUCAUGCAAGUAAAGAUGUCUGGAUCAUAUGGGUGAGACCAAAGGGCAGACUAAACAUGAUGUUGCAGGACAUAAUGCUUCCAGAACAUAAAGUCUGGGAAAUGCGUGUUCAGCUCUCCAAGAGCUGUGGCCCUUGAUUUCACCCAAUGACAUCGGGGUUUGUGUGUCCCUUCCUCAUGAGUUGCUCAUUGUUCAAGAGUGUCUAGAUGAGACAAAUAGAAGUUGUGGUUUAAGGUCUUUAGUAUCUGAGGAAAUAAUACUACUUUGGCAGUGGUAUUUGGUUCACUCCCAAAUGCUUGUGAUCAAUCCAGUGAGGACCGGUUAUGUACCUGAAGCAGUGUGUAAGUACUUUGUUACUUAAGGAUACUGUGCAGAAUGAGGAGCCAGCAGUCUGUGGUUUUGGCUGGAAGAUCGAAAAAGCCAUGGAUAGAAACUGAGGUGUAUAAAAAGGGUGGAUGCAAACUGGUCUGUGCUUUGUGCUCAAUCCAUGUACUGCAAGUCGUAGUAUGUUGAAAUGGUAAAGUAAAAAUGGGGCAAAGCUCCAAGUGUUUGUGUGUUGUUUUUAAUUAUUUCUUUUGUUCAGUUACGUAUCUUAAUGCUUUCAGUUUCAAGUGCUUGUGUUUUGGAGUUAAUCAUCUGUUUUGUGUUUGGACAGCUAUUUCUUGAUGCUUAUUUCCUCAAAUAUUCAAUUUCCAUACUAUUUUGCAUAAGUGCUUACGUGCAUUGUUUUUAAAACAUCUUUAGGCUACAAGUGUUUGGAGGUAUGGAAGUGUAAUUCUUGAAUGUCAUGUGUAGAUAAAAAAAAAAAUAAUGAAGAGUGUGCAACCUCAUAAAAUAUUUGAGGCAUUUUGA